UGUAAUGAAAGUAUACAACCAAGAUUACAUCAAACCUACGUGAUUAAUAGAAAAAAAUUAAACUUGCCAACUUGUCAACUUGUCAAAAUAUAAUUUGGAAAUUUAAGAAAUGAAUACAACAGAAGAAAACGUAAAAAUAUUAAAUUGGUACUAUCGCCAUGUAAUCAGUCGAAUUGUGGGUAGUUGGAUGUGGGGGAGUUCCAUCCAUUUGAAACGAAACCAAUCAUCAAAACUUAAAUAUUGAAUUUCGUGCACUGUGGUAACGUAGCAGUCUUAAAAAGGAAUUAGAAUUCAAAUUUUCUUCAAUAAAAAAUGGACCAGGUUU